rnacentral:lncRNA from 1 species
CUAACCUCCAUGCUGAAAGUCAUGUUUAACCAAUAAUGUUAGCCUUAAUUAAUUGUCAGUUAAAGUUAAAUAUUACAAAAAUAAAAACUAUCUGAAAGUCAUGCAUAUAAAAAUAAUUCUCAUGCAAUAUUAGUUUCAUGCAAAAGGUGAUCUAUAAGUAGACCUCUUUUCAUUAAGUAUCUUGGGAAUCAAGACUUUUCAGAACGGAAUUGAGAAUCUGUGAAGAUAUACUUGCUCUUACCUUUAAAAUAGCCACCAUAAAUAGAUUCACCUCCUUUUCCAUUACCUUCACUGAAGUCCCCACCCUGAAUCAUGAAGUUUUUAACCACGCGAUGGAACGUAGUGCCUUUGUAGCACAACUUCUUCCCAGUUGUUUUGCCAAUUCCUUUUUCACCCGAGCACAAGCAAAGGAAGUUUUUGCAAGUCUUUGGACAUAUGUCUGAGAAGAGCUGAAACAUAAUUCGACCAACUGGCUCGCGGUUGAUCUCGAUGUCGAAGAAGCACUGCGGUCGGUCCUGCACGCCCAUGGCCGCGCGGCCCCGCGGCGCCCGGCUCAGCACCUGGCAGCUCGUGCGCUUUGUCCCCGCUCCACGCCGCGCC